UGUGCAGGCGGUCGUGUGCGUCUACGGUGAAAUCUCCUGGCUCAACUGGGAGGGUGCCUUAGAUACGACGCGACUUGAGGAGUAGAGAGGGAAGUAGAACUCCGGGUGGAACAGUGAAAUGUGUAGAGAUCCGGAAGAAUACCAGAGGGGAAGCCGGCUUCCUGGCUACUAUCUGACGCUCAGACACGAAAGCUUGGGGAGCAAACAGGAUUAGAUACCCUGGUAGUCCAAGCUGUAAACGAUGUCCACUAGGUGUGCGGGGUAUCGACCCCCUGCGUGCCGGAGUUAACACAAUAAGUGGACCGCCGUGGGGAGUACGGCCGCAAAGGUUAAA
rnacentral:rRNA from 1 species